GUUAAGUGACUAAGCGUACACGGUGGAUGCCUUGGCAGUCAGAGGCGAUGAAGGACGUAGUAACUUGCGAUAAGCGUAGAUGAGGCAGUAACAGCCACUUGAGUCUACGAUUUCCGAAUGGGGAAACCCACUGGCAUAAGCCAGUAUCAUUGAGUGAAUACAUAGCUCAAUGAAGCGAACCGGGAGAACUGAAACAUCUAAGUACCCCGAGGAAAAGAAAUCAACCGAGAUUCCGAAAGUAGCGGCGAGCGAAAUUGGAUUAGCCCUUAAGCUUUACAUGUGUUAGACGAACGGUCUGGAAAGUCCGACGAUACAGGGUGAUAGUCCCGUAGUUGACGAUGCAUGUUCAGUGAAAUCGAGUAGGGCGGGACACGUGUUAUCCUGUCUGAAUAUGGGGGGACCAUCCUCCAAGGCUAAAUACUCCUGACUGACCGAUAGUGAACCAGUACCGUGAGGGAAAGGCGAAAAGAACCCCUGUGAGGGGAGUGAAAUAGAACCUGAAACCGUGUACGUACAAGCAGUAGGAGCACCUUCGUGGUGUGACUGCGUACCUUUUGUAUAAUGGGUCAGCGACUUAUAUUCAGUGGCAAGGUUAACCAUCUAGGGGAGCCGUAGGGAAACCGAGUCUUAACUGGGCGCCAUAGUCUCUGGAUAUAGACCCGAAACCGAGUGAUCUAGCCAUGGGCAGGUUGAAGGUUGAGUAACAUCAACUGGAGGACCGAACCGACUAAUGUUGAAAAAUUAGCGGAUGACUUGUGGCUAGGGGUGAAAGGCCAAUCAAACUCGGAGAUAGCUGGUUCUCCCCGAAAGCUAUUUAGGUAGCGCCUCGGACGAAUACUACUGGGGGUAGAGCACUGUUAAGGCUAGGGGGUCAUCCCGACUUACCAACCCUUUGCAAACUCCGAAUACCAGUAAGUACUAUCCGGGAGACACACGGCGGGUGCUAACGUCCGUCGUGGAGAGGGAAACAACCCAGACCGCCAGCUAAGGUCCCAAAUUACAGCUAAGUGGGAAACGAUGUGGGAAGGCUUAGACAGCUAGGAUGUUGGCUUAGAAGCAGCCAUCAUUUAAAGAAAGCGUAAUAGCUCACUAGUCGAGUCGGCCUGCGCGGAAGAUGUAACGGGGCUAAGUUGUAAACCGAAGCUGCGGCAAUGUUCUUUGAACAUUGGGUAGGGGAGCGUUCUGUAAGCCGUUGAAGGUGUGUUGUAAAGCAUGCUGGAGGUAUCAGAAGUGCGAAUGCUGACAUGAGUAACGACAAGGGGGGUGAAAAACCUCCCCGCCGGAAGACCAAGGGUUCCUGUCCAACGUUAAUCGGGGCAGGGUAAGUCGACCCCUAAGGCGAGGCUGAAAAGCGUAGUCGAUGGGAAACGGGUUAAUAUUCCCGUACUUCUUACAAUUGCGAUGGGGGGACGGAGAAGGCUAGGUGGGCCUGGCGACGGUUGUCCAGGUUCAAGUGCGUAGGCU
rnacentral:rRNA from 1 species